rnacentral:rRNA from 2 species
UACGGAGGAUGCGAGCGUUAUCCGGAUUUAUUGGGUUUAAAGGGUGCGUAGGCGGUUAUAUAAGUCAGUGGUGAAAGUUUUCGGCUCAACCGGAAAAUUGCCAUUGAUACUGUAUAGCUAGAAUAUGGUUGCUGUGAGUAGAAUGUGUGGUGUAGCGGUGAAAUGCAUAGAUAUCACACAGAAUACCGAUUGCGAAGGCAUCUCACAAAGCCAUCAUUGACGCUGAGGCACGAAAGUGUGGGGAUCAAAC